rnacentral:rRNA from 1 species
CCUACGGGUGGCAGCAGUGGGGGAUAUUGCACAAUGGGGGAAACCCUGAUGCAGCGACGCCGCGUGGGUGAAGAAGCGCCUCGGCGCGUAAAGCCCUGUCAGCAGGGAAGAAAAUGACGGUACCUGAAGAAGAAGCCCCGGCUAACUACGUGCCAGAAGCCGCGGUAAUACGUAGGGGGCAAGCGUUAUCCGGAUUUACUGGGUGUAAAGGGGGCGCAGACGGCGAUGCAAGCCAGAAGUGAAAGCCCGGGGCCCAACCCCGGGACUGCUCUUGGAACUGCGUGGCUAGAGUGCAGGAGGGGCAGGCGGAAUGCAUGGUGUAGCGGUGAAAUGCGUAGAGAUCAGGCGGAACACCGGUGGCGAAGGCGGCCUGCUGGGCUGCAACUGACGUUGAGGCCCGAAAGCGUGGGGAGCAAACAGGAUUAGAUACCCCUGUAGUC